CGAUAGCUAUCGGAUGUAAUGGAAAGCCCGUAAGCGAGGAACGAGUGCGGACUUGGAAUGGAAAGCGGGACUGAAG
rnacentral:sRNA from 2 species